rnacentral:rRNA from 1 species
AUUGAACGCUGGCGGCAUGCCUUACACAUGCAAGUCGAACGGCAGCACGGGAGCAAUCCUGGUGGCGAGUGGCGAACGGGUGAGUAAUAUAUCGGAACGUGCCCAGUGAUGGGGGAUAGCCCGGCGAAAGCCGGAUUAAUACCGCAUACGACCUACGGGUGAAAGCAGGGGAUCGCAAGACCUUGCGUCAUUGGAGCGGCCGAUAUCAGAUUAGCUUGNGGUGGGGUAAAAGCCUACCAAGGCGACGAUCUGUAGCUGGUCUGAGAGGACGACCAGCCACACUGGGACUGAGACACGGCCCAGACUCCUACGGGAGGCAGCAGUGGGGAAUUUUGGACAAUGGGCGCAAGCCUGAUCCAGCCAUGCCGCGUGCGGGAAGAAGGCCUCGG